UGGCUCAGAUUGAACGCUGGCGGCAGGCCUAACACAUGCAAGUCGAGCGGAUGAGUGGAGCUUGCUCCAUGAUUCAGCGGCGGACGGGUGAGUAAUGCCUAGGAAUCUGCCUGGUAGUGGGGGACAACGUUUCGAAAGGAACGCUAAUACCGCAUACGUCCUACGGGAGAAAGUGGGGGAUCUUCGGACCUCACGCUAUCAGAUGAGCCUAGGUCGGAUUAGCUAGUUGGUGAGGUAAAGGCUCACCAAGGCGACGAUCCGUAACUGGUCUGAGAGGAUGAUCAGUCACACUGGAACUGAGACACGGUCCAGACUCCUACGGGAGGCAGCAGUGGGGAAUAUUGGACAAUGGGCGAAAGCCUGAUCCAGCCAUGCCGCGUGUGUGAAGAAGGUCUUCGGAUUGUAAAGCACUUUAAGUUGGGAGGAAGGGCAGUAAGUUAAUACCUUGCUGUUUUGACGUUACCAACAGAAUAAGCACCGGCUAACUUCGUGCCAGCAGCCGCGGUAAUACGAAGGGUGCAAGCGUUAAUCGGAAUUACUGGGCGUAAAGCGCGCGUAGGUGGUUCGUUAAGUUGGAUGUGAAAGCCCCGGGCUCAACCUGGGAACUGCAUCCAAAACUGGCGAGCUAGAGUAU
rnacentral:rRNA from 2 species